UANHGGCGGACGGGUGAGUAACGCGUGAACAACCUACCUUGUACAGGGGGAUAACACAUAGAAACGUGUGCUAAUACCGUAUAAGACCACAGUGCCGCAUGGCACAGGGGUCAAAGGAGCAAUCCGGUAUAAGAGGGGUUCGCGUCCCAUUAGCUAGUUGGUGGAGUAACGGUUCACCAAGGCAACGAUGGGUAUCCGAGCUGAGAGGCUGAACGGACACACUGGGACUGAGAUACGGCCCAGACUCCUACGGGAGGCAGCAGGGAGGAAUAUUGGUCAAUGGGGGAAACCCUGAACCAGCAACGCCGCGUGAAGGAAGAAGGCCCUCGGGUUGUAAACUUCUGUUUUCAGGGACGAAGAAAGUGACGGUACCUGAAGAGAAAGCUCCGGCAAACUACGUGCCAGCAGCCGCGGUAAUACGUAGGGAGCGAGCGUUGUCCGGAAUCACUGGGCGUAAAGGGCGCGUAGGCGGCUUUACAAGUUGCAUGUGAAACACCAUGGCUUAACCAUGGGGUGUCAUGCAAAACUGUAGGGCUUGAGUGCAGUAGAGGAAAGCGGAAUUCCUGGUGUAGCGGUAAAAUGCGUAGAUAUCAGGAAGAACACCGGUGGCGAAGGCGGCACACUGGCCCAGCACUGACGCUGAGGCGCGAAAGCGUGGGGAGCGAACGGGAUUAGAUACCCCGGUAGUCCACGCUGUAAACGGUGGGUACUAGGUGUGGGGGACAUUCCACGUUCUCUGUGCCGUAGCUAACGCAUUAAGUACCCCGCCUGGGGAGUACGGCCGCAAGGCUAAAACUCAAAGGAAUUGACGGGGCCCCGCACAAGCGGCGGAGCAUGCGGAUUAAUUCGAUGCAACGCGAAGAACCUUACCUGGGUUUGACAUAUAUCGGAAACGUUCAGAGAUGGGCGCCCCGUAAGGUCGGUAUACAGGUGGUGCAUGGCUGUCGUCAGCUCGUGUCGUGAGAUGUUGGGUUAAGUCCCGCAACGAGCGCAACCCUCGUCCAAUGUUGCCAGCGGGUUAUGCCGGGGACUCAUAGAAGACUGCCGGGGUCAACUCGGAGGAAGGUGGGGAUGACGUCAAGUCAUCAUGCCCCUUAUGUCCAGGGCUUCACGCAUGCUACAAUGGCUGGUACAAAGGGCUGCAAUAUCGCAAGAUGGAGCGAAUCCCAUAAAGCCAGUCUCAGUUCGGAUUGGGGUCUGCAACUCGACCCCAUGAAGUCGGAGUCGCUAAUAAUCGCCGAUCAGCAACGCUGCGGUGAAUACGUUCCCGGGCCUUGUACACACCGCCCGUCAAUUCAUGAAAGUCGGUAACACCCGAAGCCGGUGCCUAACCCUUGUGGAGGGA
rnacentral:rRNA from 1 species